rnacentral:rRNA from 1 species
UACGGAGGGUGCAAACGUUGCUCGGAAUCAUUGGGCGUAAAGCGCACGUAGGCGGAUUGCUAAGUCAGGGGUGAAAUCCUGGAGCUCAACUCCAGAACUGCCUUUGAUACUGGUGAUCUUGAGUCCGGGAGAGGUGAGUGGAACUGCGAGUGUAGAGGUGAAAUUCGUAGAUAUUCGCAAGAACACCAGUGGCGAAGGCGGCUCACUGGCCCGGUACUGACGCUGAGGUGCGAAAGCGUGGGGAGCAAACAGG